AAUAAGUGUUGUUUAUAUUUAACGUUUGAUCGUUCGUCUUAUUUAAAUUUUUUUUAUGAUUAGUUUUUUAUUGUUAUUAGAUGAUAAAACAUGAAUAAUACUUUAUGUGUGACUAUUUUUUAUUUUUUUAUAUUUUUUUAAAAUAAGAUGGACGGUUAAAUGUUGGACAUACAUACCUAGUUCUGUACUUAUU
rnacentral:pre_miRNA from 1 species